rnacentral:rRNA from 1 species
UACGUAGGGACCAAGCGUUGUUCGGAUUUACUGGGCGUAAAGGGCGCGUAGGCGGUUUGUCAAGUCAGUUGUGAAAUCUCCGAGCUUAACUCGGAACGGUCAACUGAUACUGUCAAACUAGAGUACAGAAGGGGCAAUCGGAAUUCUUGGUGUAGCGGUGAAAUGCGUAGAUAUCAAGAGGAACACCUGAGGUGAAGACGGGUUGCUGGGCUGAUACUGACGCUCAUGCACGAAAGCGUGGGGAGCAAACAGG